UUAAGCGACUAAGCGUACACGGUGGAUGCCCUGGCAGUCAGAGGCGAUGAAGGACGUGCUAAUCUGCGAAAAGCGUCGGUAAGGUGAUAUGAACCGUUAUAACCGGCGAUGUCCGAAUGGGGAAACCCAGUGCAAUUCGUUGCACUAUCGUUAACUGAAUACAUAGGUUAACGAGGCGAACCGGGGGAACUGAAACAUCUAAGUACCCCGAGGAAAAGAAAUCAACCGAGAUUCCCCCAGUAGCGGCGAGCGAACGGGGAGCAGCCCAGAGUCUGAAUCAGCUUGUGUGUUAGUGGAACGGUCUGGAAAGUCCGACGGUACAGGGUGAUAGUCCCGUACACCAAAAUGCACAGGUUGUGAACUCGAAGAGUAGGGCGGGACACGUGGUAUCCUGUCUGAAUAUGGGGGGACCAUCCUCCAAGGCUAAAUACUCCUGACUGACCGAUAGUGAACCAGUACCGUGAGGGAAAGGCGAAAAGAACCCCGGCGAGGGGAGUGAAAAAGAACCUGAAACCGUGUACGUACAAGCAGUGGGAGCACCUUCGGGUGUGACUGCGUACCUUUUGUAUAAUGGGUCAGCGACUUAUAUUCUGUAGCAAGGUUAACCGUAUAGGGGAGCCGCAGGGAAACCGAGUCUUAACUGGGCGUUAAGUUGCAGGGUAUAGACCCGAAACCCGGUGAUCUAGCCAUGGGCAGGUUGAAGGUUGGGUAACACUAACUGGAGGACCGAACCGACUAAUGUUGAAAAAUUAGCGGAUGACUUGUGGCUGGGGGUGAAAGGCCAAUCAAACCGGGAGAUAGCUGGUUCUCCCCGAAAGCUAUUUAGGUAGCGCCUCGUGAAUUCAUCUUCGGGGGUAGAGCACUGUUUCGGCUAGGGGGUCAUCCCGACUUACCAACCCGAUGCAAACUACGAAUACCGAAGAAUGUUAUCACGGGAGACACACGGCGGGUGCUAACGUCCGUCGUGAAGAGGGAAACAACCCAGACCGCCAGCUAAGGUCCCAAAGUCAUGGUUAAGUGGGAAACGAUGUGGGAAGGCACAGACAGCCAGGAUGUUGGCUUAGAAGCAGCCAUCAUUUAAAGAAAGCGUAAUAGCUCACUGGUCGAGUCGGCCUGCGCGGAAGAUGUAACGGGGCUAAACCAUGCACCGAAGCUGCGGCAGCGACACUAUGUGUUGUUGGGUAGGGGAGCGUUCUGUAAGCCUGCGAAGGUGGCCUGUGAGGGUUGCUGGAGGUAUCAGAAGUGCGAAUGCUGACAUAAGUAACGAUAAAGCGGGUGAAAAGCCCGCUCGCCGGAAGACCAAGGGUUCCUGUCCAACGUUAAUCGGGGCAGGGUGAGUCGACCCCUAAGGCGAGGCCGAAAGGCGUAGUCGAUGGGAAACAGGUUAAUAUUCCUGUACUUGGUGUUACUGCGAAGGGGGGACGGAGAAGGCUAUGUUAGCCGGGCGACGGUUGUCCCGGUUUAAGCAUGUAGGCUGGUUGUCCAGGCAAAUCCGGAUAAUCAAGGCUGAGGUGUGAUGACGAGGCACUACGGUGCUGAAGUAACAAAUGCCCUGCUUCCAGGAAAAGCCUCUAAGCAUCAGGUAACAUUAAAUCGUACCCCAAACCGACACAGGUGGUCAGGUAGAGAAUACCAAGGCGCUUGAGAGAACUCGGGUGAAGGAACUAGGCAAAAUGGUGCCGUAACUUCGGGAGAAGGCACGCUGGUGUGUAGGUGAAGUCCCUGCGGAUGGAGCUGAGACCAGUCGAAGAUACCAGCUGGCUGCAACUGUUUAUUAAAAACACAGCACUGUGCAAACACGAAAGUGGACGUAUACGGUGUGACGCCUGCCCGGUGCCGGAAGGUUAAUUGAUGGGGUUAUCCGUAAGGAGAAGCUCUUGAUCGAAGCCCCGGUAAACGGCGGCCGUAACUAUAACGGUCCUAAGGUAGCGAAAUUCCUUGUCGGGUAAGUUCCGACCUGCACGAAUGGCGUAAUGAUGGCCAGGCUGUCUCCACCCGAGACUCAGUGAAAUUGAACUCGCUGUGAAGAUGCAGUGUACCCGCGGCAAGACGGAAAGACCCCGUGAACCUUUACUAUAGCUUGACACUGAACAUUGAGCCUUGAUGUGUAGGAUAGGUGGGAGGCUUUGAAGCGUGGACGCCAGUCUGCGUGGAGCCAACCUUGAAAUACCACCCUUUAAUGUUUGAUGUUCUAACGUUGGCCCCUUACCGGGGUUGCGGACAGUGUCUGGUGGGUAGUUUGACUGGGGCGGUCUCCUCCCAAAGCGUAACGGAGGAGCACGAAGGUUAGCUAAUCCUGGUCGGACAUCAGGAGGUUAGUGCAAUGGCAUAAGCUAGCUUGACUGCGAGCGUGACGGCGCGAGCAGGUGCGAAAGCAGGUCAUAGUGAUCCGGUGGUUCUGAAUGGAAGGGCCAUCGCUCAACGGAUAAAAGGUACUCCGGGGAUAACAGGCUGAUACCGCCCAAGAGUUCAUAUCGACGGCGGUGUUUGGCACCUCGAUGUCGGCUCAUCACAUCCUGGGGCUGAAGUAGGUCCCAAGGGUAUGGCUGUUCGCCAUUUAAAGUGGUACGCGAGCUGGGUUUAGAACGUCGUGAGACAGUUCGGUCCCUAUCUGCCGUGGGCGCUGGAGAAUUGAGGGGGGCUGCUCCUAGUACGAGAGGACCGGAGUGGACGCAUCACUGGUGUUCGGGUUGUCAUGCCAAUGGCACUGCCCGGUAGCUAAAUGCGGAAGAGAUAAGUGCUGAAAGCAUCUAAGCACGAAACUUGCCCCGAGAUGAGUUCUCCCUGAGACUUUAAGUCUCCUGAAGGAACGUUGAAGACGACGACGUUGAUAGGCCGGGUGUGUAAGCGCAGCGAUGCGUUGAGCUAACCGGUACUAAUGAACCGUGAGGCUUAACCUU
rnacentral:rRNA from 1 species